CAGCAGCCGCGGUAAUACGGAGGGAGCUAGCGUUGUUCGGAAUUACUGGGCGUAAAGCGCGCGUAGGCGGUUACUCAAGUCAGAGGUGAAAGCCCGGGGCUCAACCCCGGAACUGCCUUUGAAACUAGGUGACUGGAAUCUUGGAGAGGUCAGUGGAAUUCCGAGUGUAGAGGUGAAAUUCGUAGAUAUUCGGAAGAACACCAGUGGCGAAGGCGACUGACUGGACAAGUAUUGACGCUGAGGUGCGAAAGCGUGGGGAGCAAACAGGAUUAGAUACCCGCGUAGUCCCUGUCUCUUAUAC
rnacentral:rRNA from 1 species